ensembl:lncRNA
UAAUAUUCAUAGUCUGAGCUGAAAGUUGUCACAAGUAGAACUGGUGCAUUGUACUUCAUAACUGUCUUCCUGCAAGGUUCAAGUCCAAGGGUUCUGAGUCUCAUUCCCUUCCUUGUUUUCAGCUCACCUGUAUACAUGCAAAGCUCCUGCCAAGCUGAGAUCUGGGAUCGGUUGGUAUGCUGUAAAGCGGAGAUGGUGAAGGAAUGCUGUAGGAGGAUCAGACUUCUUGAAGGGGGAUUUGGAAGAGCAUCUGCAAGCAGGAGUGCAUUUCCCAAGCUUCUGAAGGGACACAACUCUAGCAGUGCCAACCAGGACGAUUGCUCUGCCUGGGCUGCUGCCACCAACACAACUUCUCCCCUGGUGCCCGUGGGAGCAGCUCUUGGAGGUUUUGGGGUACAACUCAGACCUCCUAUCUCAUGGGCAGCUCAGCUGUUUUCCCAUGGAGCAGGAAAAGGAGGUGGUGGAUUAAUUGCUGCUGUACUGUACCUGGACCAGCACAGCCCUGCAAAGCACAGAAGAUACAGUAUCACCUUUCUUUGAUUAAAGAAGAUGUGACGAAGAUUCCUUCAAACCGACCUACCAUAGUCCAUUCAAGAGAGUUUUGCAUAUCCCAUUGGGAGUGUUUGUCAUUGUACAGCUAACAGCGCGUGCUGAGGGAUGUGGGAAUUCAGAGGAAGGGUGGCUUUGUUCUGUCUCUCUGUGUCCGGUGCUGGUUUAAUCCUCCUCCCACUUACCUCACCACUAAGAUCCCCUUUUGUAGGUGAGUGUCAUCUCAUAUUAUGCUUUCGUUCCAGAAAAGCUGCCUUUUCCUGCCUCUUGCUGACAUCUUUCCUAUUUAUUUUUUUUUCCUAGAGCAACAACCCUUAAGUGUUAACCACUCAUCUCAGCCCUUCCAGAUGAAGCCUGUGUGUCAUGAAGCUGGAGACAUUCAGAUGCCCAUUUGGAUAGAUCUUCAGCCUGGUCCACACCCCCUCUCCAGCAACACAAGUUCUGCGUGUCCUGACGCCACUGUUCAGCCCUGCACACAGAAGAAGAGCCUUUUCCUGAGCCUUGCUGAGGAAUCUUCACUUCAUACAGUUGUUACAGGCUGUGCUGAGCGCUGUGUUGCUGCCUGGUCUGUUGGUUGUGGGGAACAAUGGCUCAGCAUCGCAGACAGGUUCUUGUAGAAGCUCUGGCAACCCUGGGAACAACAUUCACACCUCUCAACUUGCUUACACUGGUGCUUUCCUGGCCUCAGGAUGCGUGUAAGUACACUGUGUCCUGUCCAAUUUGCCUCCCAAGUCACUACAUUAGGUGCACAGGCAGCUUCUACUCCUUC